GACGAGCAUCACAAACGUUAUUCGGAAUUACUGGGCGUAAAGCGCGCGUAGGCGGCGUUGCAAGUUGGGAGUGAAGUCCCAGGGCUUAACCCUGGAAUUGCUUUCAAAACUGCAGUGCUAGAGAAUGGUAGAGGGUGACGGAAUUCCCGGUGUAGAGGUGAAAUUCGUAGAUAUCGGGAGGAACACCAGUGGCGAAGGCGGUCACCUGGGCCAUUUCUGACGCUAAGGCGCGAAAGCGUGGGGAGCGAACAGG
rnacentral:rRNA from 1 species